UACGGAGGGUGCGAGCGUUGUCCGGAAUCAUUGGGCGUAAAGGGCGCGUAGGCGGUCGUGACAAGUCACUUGUGAAAUCUCCGGGCUUAACUCGGAACGGUCAAGUGAUACUGUCGGACUAGAGUACAGAAGGGGCAACUGGAAUUCUCGGUGUAGCGGUGAAAUGCGUAGAUAUCGAGAGGAACACCUGCGGCGAAGGCGGGUUGCUGGGCUGAUACUGACGCUGAGGCGCGAAAGCCAGGGGAGCGAACGGG
rnacentral:rRNA from 1 species